rnacentral:rRNA from 1 species
AACAAAUGCGGGUCGGCUAGCCAUGCGAGCGGAGGGCGCGGUCGAAGAUCGUGGCCCCGCACACGGCUCAGUAACACGUAGUCAACCUACCCUUGGGACGGGGACAACCUCGGGAAACUGAGGCUAAUACCCGGUAGGCGAGGGACGCUGGGAUGCCUCCUCGCUCAAAGCUCAGGCGCCCAAGGAUGGGACUGCGGCCUAUCAGGCUGUUGGUGGUGUUACGGACCACCAAACCUACGACGGGUACGGGCGAUGGGAGUCGGAGCCCGGAGAUGGGGACUGAGACAAGGCCCCAGGCCCUACGGGGCGCAGCAGGCGCGAAAACUCCGCAAUGCGCGCAAGCGUGACGGGGGGACCCCAAGUGCCGUUGGUCUUUUGAUCGACAGUUUUUAGGAAGUUUAGGGAGCUUCCAGAAUAAGGGCUGGGUAAGACUGGUGCCAGCCGCCGCGGUAACACCAGCAGCCCGAGUGGUGGCCACGAUUAUUGGGCCUAAAGCGCUCGUAGCCGGAUCAGCAAGUCCCUUGUGAAAUCGGGCCGCCCAACGGUUCGGCGUGCAAGGGAUACUGUUGAUCUUGAGGCCGGGAGAGGUCGGAGGUACUCCUGGGGUAGCGGUGAAAUGCUCUAAUCCUAGGGGGACCACCAGUGGCGAAGGCGUCCGACCAGAACGGACCUGACGGUGAGGGGCAAAGGCUAGGGGAGCGAACGGGAUUAGAUACCCCGGUAGUCCUAGCUAUAAAGCAUGCGGG